rnacentral:rRNA from 1 species
AGAUUAAACAUAAGAGUUUGAUCCUGGCUCAGAUUGAACGCUGGCGGCAUGCUUUACACAUGCAAGUCGAACGGCAGCACGGAGAGCUUGCUCUCUGGUGGCGAGUGGCGAACGGGUGAGUAAUGCAUCGGAACGUACCGAGUAAUGGGGGAUAACUGUCCGAAAGGAUGGCUAAUACCGCAUACGCCCUGAGGGGGAAAGCGGGGGAUCUUAGGACCUCGCGUUAUUUGAGCGGCCGAUGUUGGAUUAGCUAGUUGGUGGGGUAAAGGCCUACCAAGGCGACGAUCCAUAGCGGGUCUGAGAGGAUGAUCCGCCACAUUGGGACUGAGACACGGCCCAAACUCCUACGGGAGGCAGCAGUGGGGAAUUUUGGACAAUGGGGGGAACCCUGAUCCAGCCAUGCCGCGUGUCUGAAGAAGGCCUUCGGGUUGUAAAGGACUUUUGUUAGGGAAGAAAAGCUGGGUGUUAAUACCAUCCAGUGCUGACGGUACCUAAAGAAUAAGCACCGGCUAACUACGUGCCAGCAGCCGCGGUAAUACGUAGGGUGCGAGCGUUAAUCGGAAUUACUGGGCGUAAAGCGAGCGCAGACGGUUAAAUAAGUCAGAUGUGAAAUCCCCGAGCUCAACUUGGGACGUGCAUUUGAAACUGUGUAACUAGAGUGUGUCAGAGGGAGGUAGAAUUCCACGUGUAGCAGUGAAAUGCGUAGAG